rnacentral:rRNA from 1 species
CGCGUAGGCGGUCUUGUCGGUCAGAUGUGAAAGCCCAGGGCUCAACCCUGGACGUGCAUUUGAAACAGCAAGACUUGAGUACGGGAGAGGAAAGCGGAAUUCCUGGUGUAGAGGUGAAAUUCGUAGAUAUCAGGAGGAACACCGAUAGCGAAGGCAGCUUUCUGGACCGAUACUGACGCUGAGGCGCGAAGGCGUGGGUAGCGAACAGGAUUAGAUACCCUGGUAGUCC